UACGGAAGGCAGCAGUGGGGAAUAUUGCACAAUGGGCGCAAGCCUGAUGCAGCCAUGCCGCGUGUAUGAAGAAGGCCUUCGGGUUGUAAAGUACUUUCAGUCGUGAGGAAGGUGUUAAGGUUAAUAACCUUAGCAAUUGACGUUAGCGACAGAAGAAGCACCGGCUAACUCCGUGCCAGCAGCCGCGGUAAUACGGAGGGUGCGAGCGUUAAUCGGAAUUACUGGGCGUAAAGGGCACGCAGGCGGUUAAUUAAGUUGGAUGUGAAAUCCCCGGGCUUAACCUGGGAAUGGCAUUCAAGACUGGUUAGCUAGAGUCUUGUAGAGGGGGUAGAAUUCCAUGUGUAGCGGUGAAAUGCGUAGAGAUGUGGAGGAAUACCGGUGGCGAAGGCGGCCCCUGGACAAAGACUGACGCUCAUGUGCGAAGGCGUGGGGAGCAAAC
rnacentral:rRNA from 1 species